rnacentral:rRNA from 1 species
GACAGAGGUGGCAAGCGUUGUUCGGAAUUACUGGGCUUAAAGGGCGCGUAGGCGGUGGAGUAAGUCUGAGGUGGAAGAUUAGGGCUUAACCCUAAAAUUGCCUUGGAAACUGCAUCACUUGAGUCAGCGAGGGGAUGGCGGAAUUCCAGGUGUAGCGGUGAAAUGCGUAGAUAUCUGGAGGAAGGCCGGUGGCGAAGGCGGCCAUCUGGCGCUGAGGCGCGAAAGCUAGGGGAGCAAACGGG